GACGAACGCUGGCGGCGUGCUUAACACAUGCAAGUCGAGCGGAAAGGCCCUUCGGGGUACUCGAGCGGCGAACGGGUGAGUAACACGUGAGUAACCUGCCCCAAACUUUGGGAUAACCCUCGGAAACGGGGGCUAAUACCGGAUACGACACAGCUUCGCAUGGGGUCUGUGUGGAAAGUUUUUCGGUUUGGGAUGGGCUCGCGGCCUAUCAGCUUGUUGGUGGGGUGAUGGCCUACCAAGGCGACGACGGGUAGCCGGCCUGAGAGGGCGACCGGCACACUGGGACUGAGACACGGCCCAGACUCCUACGGGAGGCAGCAGUGGGGAAUAUUGCACAAUGGGCGGAAGCCUGAUGCAGCGACGCCGCGUGAGGGAUGACGGCCUUCGGGUUGUAAACCUCUUUCAGCAGGGACGAAGCGUAAGUGACGGUACCUGCAGAAGAAGCGCCGGCCAACUACGUG
rnacentral:rRNA from 1 species